rnacentral:rRNA from 1 species
UUACUUUACCCAAAAGGAAACAGUUUCGAGGUAGUGACGAGAAAUAACAAUACAGGGCAUUUUAUGCUCUGUAAUUGGAAUGAUGGGAAUGUAAAACCCUUCCAGAGUAACAAUUGGAGGGCAAGUCUGGUGCCAGCAGCCGCGGUAAUUCCAGCUCCAAUAGUGUAUAUUAGAGUUGUUGCAGUUAAAAAGCUCGUAGUUGGAUUUCUGCUGUGGUCAUCCGGUACCGCCCGUAUGGGUGCGCACCUGGUUUGGCUGCGGCUUUCUUCCUGUAGCCGUCCGCGCUUAAUUGCGUGUGUUGUGUUACGGAACUUUUACUUUGAGAAAAAUAGAGUGUUUCAAGCAGGCUUGUCGCCCUGAAUACUUCAGCAUGGAAUAAUAGGAUAGGACCUUGGUUCUAUUUUGUUGGUUUCUAGGACCAAGGUAAUGAUUAAUAGGGACAGUUGGGGGCAUUCGUAUUUAACUGUCAGAGGUGAAAUUCUUAGAUUUGUUAAAGACGAACUACUGCGAAAGCAUUUGCCAAGGAUGUUUUCAUUAAUCAAGAACGACAGUAGGGGGUUUGAAGACGAUUAGAUACCGUCGUAAUCUCUACCAUAAACUAUGCCGACUAGAGAUAGGGAAAUGCCUACCUUGCUUUUCUCCCUGAAUGA